rnacentral:misc_RNA from 1 species
GGAGAUGGGAUCCUAGGAUCUCCUCUUGAUGCUGCAUUUGAGCUUGGAAUUCCAAUUUUUCGUUUCCGUACAAUUAGUGCAUGUUCUUUCUAGAGUUAUUUUUGUAUUCCUGAUGUGAUUGAAGCCUGCGAACUUCCUAUAAAAGGUAAUAAUCUGCCCAUAUCUCUAAUGUUGCUUUCUGCUGGAAGGAAAGUUGAGCUUGACUUGUUAAUAUAUAUUUGAUAAUUAUUCUAAUUGUAUUAAUGAACGAUUGUUUGUUGAAAUUGAAGUAGAAGAAGACAUAGACAGACUCAUAACAAAA